GGAGCAGCCGCCUUGGAGGUCUCUGGCCAGUAUCGCUUCCACCUGUCCACAAACAUGGGGAAUAUCUUUGCAAACCUCUUCAAGGGACUUUUUGGCAAAAAAGAAACGUGCAUUCUCUUGGUGGGCCUGGAUGCUGCAGGGAAGACAAACUGAAGCUGGGCGAAAUUGUGACCACCAUUCCCACCAUUGGUUUCAACAUGGAGACUGUUGAAUACAAGAAUAUCAGCUUCACCGUGUGGGAUGUGGGUGGCUAGGACAAGAUUCAGCCGCUGUGGCGCCACUACUUCCAGAACACCCAAGGCUUGAUCUUCGUAGUGGACAGCAAUGACAGAGAGCGUGUGAACGAGGCCCGUGAAGAGCUCAUGAGGAUGCUAGCUGAAGAUGAGCUCCGAGAUGCCGUUCUCUUGGUGUUUGCCAACAAGCAGGACCUCCCCAAUGCCAUGAAUGCGGCCGAAAUCACAGACAAGCUGGGGCUGCACUCUCUACGCCACAGAAACUGGUACAUUCAGGCUACCUGUGCCACCAGCGGAGACGGGCUCUAUGAAGGACUAGACCGGUUGUCUAAUCAGCUCCGGAACCAGAAGUGAACCAGACCCCUUCUUCCCCCUCACUUCCUCUUCUCUGCCCUCAGCUUUCCUCUCAUGUGGCAAAUGUGCGACUCUGUGGUCCUGAGUGCCAGAAGCUGUCUCCAUGGGUUGGUCACAGUGUGCAUCGCACCGUGCUGUACAUGUGCAGACGCAGCCUGCAGCCAGGUGUUUAUUUAAUGUAAACAGUUUCUGUUCCCACUGAGGCAGUUUCUGGUACUCCUAUGCAAUAUUACUUAGCUUUUCUAUUGUAAAAAGAGAAUCAGCUCACUGUCAGUACUGAAAGGGAUUUGGGUGUAAGGGCACCUGGCCUCCGGGAACCACUAGACUGUAGACUGGUGUCGGUAUCCAUUUGGUGGUUGGUUUUUAACCCAAACUCAGUUCAUCUUUUAAAAAUAGUUUAAAAUACAGGACAAGAACACUUGAACACACAGAACAGAGACUAUGCCUAGUGUAGGUUUUGCAGUUAAUGGCCUGAAUGCUAGUUAUCAGAUCACCUGUUUCCCUGUGGGAACAGGAGAGAAGGUGACGAACAAACCACCAUCCUCUGCAUGGUCACAGUAGAGCCCCCGUGACUCGCCUGUCUUUGGGUCACCUGCAUUCCAUAGCAUUGUGCUUGUACAUGCGCUCACACGGUCACCUACGGGUGGGCUGGGAGCCAUUCUGAGGUGCAGGGCCUGGCUUGUACUUGGUGUGUGGCCAGGCCCAAUGGCAGCCUACAUACCCAGCUUACUCUUGGGCCCACUUGGACGCACUGGCAGGAGGCCUGGGUCUCACCAGCAGGAGUGCGUGCAAGGUGGGAGGGUCGGUCCAUUACAGACCCACAUCCUGGAGCACCCCCAUCUCCAUGUGUGAAGUAGCUUCCUCCCUCAGCCUGCAAGGGUCCGAUUUGCCAUCGAAAGACGACCUCUACUUUUUUCUUUUGUAUUUUGAUAAACAUUGAAGAAGCUGGAGCUGUUAAAUUUAUCUUGGGGAAAUCUCAGAACUGGUUUAUUUAGUGUUGUGGAACCUUUUACUGCUUUCAAUACACAAUUAGUAAU